rnacentral:rRNA from 1 species
UACGGAGGGGGCGAGCGUUAUUCGGAAUUACUGGGCGUAAAGGGCUCGUAGGUGGCCAACUAAGUCAGACGUGAAAUCCCUCGGCUUAACCGGGGAACUGCGUCUGAUACUGGAUGGCUUGAGUUCGGGAGAGGGAUGCGGAAUUCCUGGUGUAGCGGUGAAAUGCGCAGAUAUCAGGAGGAACACCGGUGGCGAAGGCGGGUCUCUGGGCCGAUACUGACGCUGAGGAGCGAAAGCGUGGGGAGCGAACAGG